CUACGGAGGGUGCAAGCGUUAAUCGGAAUUACUGGGCGUAAAGCGCGCGUAGGCGGCUGAUUAAGUCGGAUGUGAAAUCCCUGGGCUCAACCUAGGAACUGCAUCCGAUACUGGUCAGCUAGAGUUUUGGAGAGGUAAGUGGAAUUUCCGGUGUAGCGGUGAAAUGCAUAGAGAUCGGAAGGAACACCAGUGGCGAAGGCGACUUACUGGCCAAAAACUGACGCUGAGGUGCGAAAGCGUGGGUAGCGAACAGGAUUAGAUACCCUAGUAGUCC
rnacentral:rRNA from 1 species